rnacentral:rRNA from 1 species
UACGAAGGGGGCUAGCGUUGCUCGGAUUUACUGGGCGUAAAGGGCGCGUAGGCGGCUGUUUAAGUCGGGGGUGAAAGCCCGGAGCUCAACUCCGGAACUGCCAUUGAAACUGUUUAGCUUGAGGACGAGAGAGGUGAGUGGAAUUCCCAGUGUAGAGGUGAAAUUCGUAGAUAUUGGGAAGAACACCGGUGGCGAAGGCGGCUCACUGGCUCGUUUCUGACGCUCAGGCGCGAUAGCGUGGGGAUCAAACAGG